CAAUCAAUGGCAUUUUUCUGAUCCCAGGCUUAGAAAGAUACGAGCUUUGCUACUGGGCAGGAAUUAAGACAAUUUAAUCACGUUGUGUUGAAGCCGGAUAGCACUACUGCACCUCGGAUACCCGCACCUACUAACCAUUUGAUUUCCAGCAGUGAAUUCGUCCGGCUCUUUCUUUUAAAGCAUAGACAAACCAUACCAAUUCUGAAAGGAGAGAAAAUGCAGCACUAGAGAGGGGCUUCGAGAUUUUAAAAGAAGUUAUGAAGACUAAAUCUUAUUUUGUGGGUGGACCAUGAAGAAUAUGGAGGUGUUCUGCGUGGUCAUAUCAGUGAACGGGUUUCAUUACAGACAUGCCAUGGUGAUUUUUAAAGAAAUGCAACACCUCCUAUUACUGCUGAUGAGAAACUGUAUUCUUUAUUUAUUCAGAUCCUUUUGAUGUUCUGUGCAAGACAAGUCAAAAGUCAAGCUUUAAUUGAAGGGGCACUCAAGCAAGGGCUUAAAACAAGAUACUUCCAUGCAUGUCAAAUUAGAGGAAUUUCUUAUUGUAGCUUAGUAUUUAUAAAAUAUAUGAUGUAAUUUACAUGAAAUGGUAUUAUAUAGUAUUUCUGAUACAUAAAAAUAAAGAAAAUAUUUAUUCAAA